AUAACCGCAAGGCUUAAGAGGAGGGGUGAGAAAAAAAAGUCGUAUAAAAGGCGAGAGAAAAGUCGACAGGGAUCAGUCGAGCGAGUAUCUCCGACACGGUAACAUCUGCAUUCCACUAUCUGCCAUCAGCUGCAUUCUUCAUCGUACUAUCAGUUCUAAAUCAUGGUAAACUAUGCUGGCGUGCUGUUGUUGGGUGUUGUGUCGUUGAUGGCUGGUUCAGCCACUGGCGUACCGAUGUAUCCUGGGUAUGGUGGAUACCAAAGCACUACACUGCCGCCUUAGUACACAACUUACGACACAACCAGUUGCUACACCGAUGCCCCCCAAGUACUUCACCACCAUGCUGCCCCAAGCUACUACACCGAAUCCCCACAGUAUUAUUCUUCUCCGAGCUACAUUACUAAAGGGUAGAGUACUACACCGAGGCUCCCCAACACUACACGACCAAGGCACCUGAGUACUAUACCACUACAUAUCAUGGUAAUGAAGGAGAGAAAAGGUGAAAGAUUUCAGCAGCCGAUUGAGCAUCUCCGUUACGGCAACAGGAACUGCCGUGCACUAUUUGUCAUCAACUUCAUUCUUCGUCGCAUUAAAAGUUUUAAAUAAAGUAAACUAUGGCGUCGUGCUGCUGUUGGGCGUUGUAUCGUUGAUGGGUGGUUCAGCCAUGGUGUACCGAUGUCUCCUGGGUAUGGCGGGUACUAAAGCACUACACUGCCGUGCCGUCUAACUAAUUAGCAUCAACUUCCGCUGCUCCAGCUUACUACACUGAGGUUUACAAGUGCUACACCACCAUGGAUCCAGAGUAUUACACCACAGCUCAUGUUGCCCCGAGCUACACUACCAAAGGGUCGAGAACUACGUCGAGGCUCCCAAGUACUACAUCACCAAGGCACCGGAGUACAAAAACGGUUGAAUACUACACAGAAGUUAUUAUGAGAAACUAUGGUGUCGUGCUGCUGUGAGUGUUGUAAUCAUGAUGGCUGGAUCGACCAAUGGUGUGCCGAUAUCUCCUGGGUAUGGUGGGCAAUCAACAACAACAUACGCAACAACCGCUUACUACACUGGGACCUGCAAGUGCCAAACCACCAAGGCUUCAGAGUAUUACACCACAGUUUAUGUUGGCACGAGCUACUACGCAGAAGCUCCGGAAUAAUUUUCUUCCCCGCUUCACUACCUUCACCACGCCGCCUCCUUACUAAACAACAACAACAACGUCGUCAACACCUACUUACUAAACGAACGCCUCCAAGUGCUACGCCAUAAAGGCUUCGACUACUACAACGAGGAUCAAACUUGUCACACAACUGAAGCGCCCAAGUACUGCACUACAACCUACGUUGCUCCAGCUUACACCACGAAGGGAGCGGAGUACAACACCACGAAGGGAGCGGAGUACAACACCACGAAGGGAGCGGAGUACAACACCACGAAGGGAGCGGAGUACAACACCACGAAGGGAGCGGAGUACAACACCACGAAGGGAGCGGAGUACAACACCACGAAGGGAGCGGAGUACAACACCACGAAGGGAGCGGAGUACAACACCACGAAGGGAGCGGAGUACAACACCACGAAGGGAGCGGAGUACAACACCACGAAGGGAGCGGAGUACAACACCACGAAGUAUGCUACCAUUUUACACCGAAGCUCCUGAGUAUUACACCAAAGAGAUUGCAUAUUUCGCUUCAACCCGCGCUGCCCUCAGUUGCUAUACCGAGGUUCCCAAGUACUACACCACCAAGGCACCCGAGUAUCACACCACAAACGCUUCCGGAUUUUACUACAAGGAGAUUUCUAAAUGCUAGAGCCGAUAGAUCUAUUUUAUUUUUUUUAAAUUGGUUGCUUGUCUUCAUGAUCAUUGGUCACUGGGAAUUAACUGUUGAUCUUAAAUGAGAAAAUAAAAAUUCUAAUAAGGGUAA
rnacentral:lncRNA from 1 species